CCAGUGAUAGCAGGAAAAUGCACAAUGUGAGUAGUGAUUCCUAAGCAUUUAAGGGGUGAUUUUCAAGUAAUAGAGUGAGCAGAAGACACCAUGUACAGGGACUCCAGAUGCCCCAGGCAGAGGUCUGCAUCUGCCAGUUCAGCCGGCCCUGACUGAAAAUAUUUGGGAAAAAAAUUACAAUUAAAAAGUAAGAAUAUUCACCUUCUGCCAUGAGCAAAAGCCUCCUGAAGCCUCACCAGAAGCUGAACAAAUGCUGGCGUCAUGCUUGUACAUCCUGCAGAAACGUGAGCCAAAUAAAU
rnacentral:lncRNA from 1 species